ACGUUACUAGUAUAUAUAUUUAUUAUAUCACUUUUCCAAAGUGAAGAACUAGGUUUAUUAGGUAAUGUA
rnacentral:tRNA from 1 species